rnacentral:tRNA from 2 species
GGGCGAUUAGCUCAGUUGGGAGAGCAUCGCCCUUACAAGGCGAGGGUCACUGGUUCAAGUCCAGUAUCGCCCACCA